rnacentral:rRNA from 1 species
GAUGAACGCUGGCGGCGUGCCUAAUACAUGCCAGUCGAGCGAACGGACGAGAAGCUUGCUUCUCUGAUGUUAGCGGCGGACGGGCGAGUAACACGUGGAUAACCUACCUAUAAGACUGGGAUAACUUCGGGAAACCGGAGCUAAUACCGGAUAAUAUUUUGAACCGCAUGGUUCAAAAGUGAAAGACGGUCUUGCUGUCCCUUAUAGAUGGAUCCGCGCUGCAUUAGCUAGUUGGUAAGGUAACGGCUUACCAAGGCAACGAUGCAUAGCCGACCUGAGAGGGUGAUCGGCCACACUGGAACUGAGACACGGUCCAGACUCCUACGGGAGGCAGCAGUAGGGAAUCUUCCGCAAUGGGCGAAAGCCUGACGGAGCAACGCCGCGUGAGUGAUGAAGGUCUUCGGAUCGUAAAACUCUGUUAUUAGGGAAGAACAUAUGUGUAAGUAACUGUGCACAUCUUGACGGUACCUAAUCAGAAAGCCACGGCUAACUACGUG